AACGAACGCUGGCGGCAUGCCUAACACAUGCAAGUCGAACGAGACCUUCGGGUCUAGUGGCGCACGGGUGCGUGACGCGUGGGAACCUGCCCUUAGGUUCGGAAUAACUCCCCGAAAGGGGUGCUAAUACCGGAUAAUGUCUUCGGACCAAAGAUUUAUCGCCUUUGGAUGGGCCCGCGUUGGAUUAGCUAGUUGGUAGGGUAAAAGCCUACCAAGGCGACGAUCCAUAGCUGGUCUGAGAGGAUGAUCAGCCACACUGGGACUGAGACACGGCCCAGACUCCUACGGGAGGCAGCAGUGGGGAAUAUUGGACAAUGGGCGAAAGCCUGAUCCAGCAAUGCCGCGUGAAUGAUGAAGGCCUUAGGGUUGUAAAGCUCUUUUACCCGUGAUGAUAAUGACAGUACCGGGAGAAUAAGCUCCGGCUAACUCCGUG
rnacentral:rRNA from 1 species